UUGUUCCUUUUCACAGAGGAAAAUGUUUGAGGCACAGCUACUUCCAUCUCCAGCUCCACAGUGCCAUUUGCACGUGACAUGUCGCAACCCCAGCUGAGCAUCAGGACAGGAAGCUGCCUGGGCUGGAUAAGAAGCAGAACUGAACUCAGUGACCUUGGGCCCUAAGGUGGCACAAGCUGUGGGUGUUCAUCAGAGCUGUACCCCUAUCCCCGCAGCUGCAAGGUUGUGUUCCAUUUAUGAGCUUGGCCACUCAUUCUUAAAGAGGCAAGGGACAGGCUGUAGGUGAAGCUCAGCAAUAAAUAGAGCAGGGCCGUGGCUCUGUCCCCAGCCUGGGGGAAAAGAAGAAAAAAAUUCUAUCCACAGGGGACCAGACUAGAGGGUAGGAAAAUGCUGGAUCAGAUAGCAUGUGUAAGUGUCCUGUGGCUGCUUUACCAUAGGCCUAGUGACGUAAACAAGUUCUCUCUACAAACCAGAAGUCCAAAAUCAAGACGUUAGUAGCUCUACACAUCCACUGAUGCUGUCCCACUCCUCUCCUGGCUUCCGGGGGGCUCUGGGGCUCAUGUUUUUAUUUUAAUCAUUCACAGUGAUGUGAGAUUUUAAUAAUACAAACAAAAAGCCUGGGAAUUAAAUGAUUUUGCUGUUUUUCUAUUUUUAUGUUGUCAAUGCUGUCUUCAAAGGAACAAGAGAGCUUCUCGUGGUCUGGGCGAGCCUUUGCCUCCUCACCUUUUGUCAGGUGGGGAGGCAGCCUGCCAGAAGUCUGUUUGCUCUGAGAUGACACACAAAGCUUACUGCAUGAUUCCUCAGAGAAAGCUAUUUUAGGAAAGCCCAGAUACAAGUUUGGGAAAUAGAAUUUAGUUUUAUUUAAUGUACAGGGCCUGGCUUUCCUGCGUGCAGUGUCAAAUUCCUUCUUGGAGAAGUUUGGCAUUCUGUAGCUCAUCGGGUUGAUAGAGGCUGAAGUGUGUGAAAGUCUCUGUGUGGUGUGUAGUGAUGAGCCCGUAAAUGCUUAUCCACUGCAAGGCUUUAAAAAUAGCUCCAUCCUUGCUUGGGCUUUGUGGAUGUCAGUGCUCAAGCCUAUAUAUGGAAACCUGCUUCUCUGAAGGCUGACCUCAGAUGCCUCGAAAGGCCCCCUUAAGUCCUCCUUAAGGCUGUUAGAAUCACAUGUGUUAUUAGAACCAGCUUUUUCGUUUCACAUAUUUUCACCUUAAAAAAUUAUCUUUUGGGUUUCUGGUUUAUUAUUGAAUUCUUUUAGCAGGGGCAAGUGAGAGAUAGGUCUCACUCAGUAGCCCACACUGACUUGGAACAUACUGUGUAGCUCAGGCUGGCCUCAACCUGUGGCAAUCCUCCUGUCUCAGGAUCCUAAGAGCCGAGAUUACAAACGUGAAUUACCAUGCCCAGCACUAACUGAAAAACAUUAUUACCACAAACCCACAAACAGUCUGGAUCGGAGCAGAGGUAUUUCGGACAGUUUGUUGUCAGUAUGUGGUGUGACAUCAUGCUUGGUGCCAAGUACACGUGUUGUAUGUUCAGAACCAAAGUUGCCAUGAAGUCACACAGUACUUCAGGGGCAAGUGAGCACCUCAGGUUCUUCACAGGCUUGGUUGUGCGUUCAUUUUUGGUCAUGCAUUCAGAAAGCUUUAAUUGUUGCCAAUUUUAUUUCAGAUAACCCCAACAUUCAGUUAAACAGCCACUGUUUAAGAAGCUGGUCCCUAAGCAAUAGUCAUACAGCCCAACGCACGCAUCUGCAGAUGGCCCGUGUACGCUGCUCGUGCUUGCCCUGCUGUUCAGAUCCUGUUGGCCCCGCCCAUGUGCACACAUACCAGAGGCUCUCAGCUGAGAGAUGGCCCAGAUCUGCUCACUCUCUCCAGCUUCCUCCUUCUCUUAGAUGCUAACGAAGUCUGUUUUCUUUAGUAGCAUUUUCCAUUCUACGUAGUUAAUUUGUAAAUCACUGCUCCUUUUUUUUAUAUUUAUUAUUAUAUGUAAGUACACUGUAGCUGUCUUCAGACACCUCAGAAGAGGAGGUCAGCUCUCAUUAUAGAUGGUUGUGAGCCACCAUGUGGUUGCUGGGAUUUGAACUCAGGACCUUUGGAAGAGUAGUUAGUUAACCGCUGAGCCAUCUCGACAGCCCCUGCUCCUUUUUUUUUUUUUUUAAUAUCCUUUCCUAUCUUAGUUAUUUGGUGUCUGAAUUACUCUGUACAUUUAAAAUUCUAUAAAGAAAACUUUUGUAAUGAAUACAACUUACUGAGCUGAAGUUGGAAGUAAGUGGAAUAAUGGGACUGUAAGGGAAGGGUGUGACAAGCCAGACAGCCCUGCUGGGGAUCGCUUGCCCUUAGGGGCGUUUCCUCCCCAGAGAGCUUUUCGUCCAGCCUGGUCACAGGCAGCUGGUCUCAUACAGAAGUUACUUAGUGCCACCUGUGGAGAUGACAGCAUUCUGCCCCUUGAGGCGUGCCCAGUGGUCAUUCUUACUUCGUUGGGACCCCUUACCCAGUCUUGGACACUGGGGUUCUCUCUGCUUACCCUUCCUGUGUAGUCUCAGCAUAUGUGUUCCCCCUGGUUCCUCCUUAAAUCCAGCUCUCGGAUUACCUGGUCCAGGCCACUCUCUGGAACUCUGGAAGUGCAUUCUAGCUGCCCUUAGGCUGCUUGGCUCCUCAUCUUCUCUUGUGGUUGAGGAUCAGAAUUGUGCAUGGAAUGGGGUCUCAUUUAUCUCUUGUCUAAAGUGUGAUAUGCUCAUCUGACAUAUCCCCUCAGGUCCACGCCUACAUCAUCAGCUACCUGAAGAAGGAAAUGCCAAAUAUGUUUGG
rnacentral:lncRNA from 1 species